rnacentral:tRNA from 1 species
GCCGCAUUCGUCUAGUGGCCUAGGACGCUGCCCUCUCACGGCAGUAACACGGGUUCGACUCCCGUAUGCGGUA